AGCUGAGCCCACAGAGGCCGUGCAGGCGGGCGCCCCGCGGCGGAGCGAGCUGAAGCUGCAGCUUGGGACGAGUCAGGAGGUAAGAUGCCGCCGAGCCGUCACGAGGAAUUGUUGGCCGAGAAACGCCAGAUGAAGUGAAUGAUGCUGGGAGGUUUAGUAAGCCCAGAUGGAGCCAGCCUGGAACCCAUGGUCUGCGGGGGCAGGCUCACUGGCGGACACCAGGCUUGGCAGGGCCUCGGGGCAGCCCCACCACCUCAGUGCAGAGCAGGAUCGCCUGAGGACAGGGACCGGCUCCCCAGCCCUGAAGUCCCGCGCUUUCCACUCCUUGCUCAGCACUACCACUUUCUCAGUGCUCACCCGUCUGUGCUCGCAGCAAGAAGAAAAGGUCCUUAUCAGAGAUGGAUUCCAGCUCAAUUCUGAAGAAAAUGAAUAACUUGAUCUGAGGCAGGGCUGCACACCUCUCAGGGAUGACCAGCGCCUGGGUGCUGCCUGCUCUGGAAACAUUUUCCAUCAUUCCAACAACAACUUAACUUCAUCAGUCACAGAAGCCGUUUUUGAAUGGGGUGAAAUCCUCUUUUGGUUGUGUUAUCCAAAGAUAACCAAGAACUUAAAUCCCAUCAUAGCUUCUCACUCCUUAUCCAUGGGCGACAGAAGGAAGCAAGACGCGUGCUCACAGUUUACGCCCUUCCCUCCAGACCAUCCCCACUUCAAGUCAAUGGCGAGUCAGCCUCUCUCCAUGGAUGACAGGAUUCUGACCAGCCAAGUGAAGGCAGAAGUUCCUUCCCACUCGCCAGAGCCCGGGCCUGAGAAAGGGAGCCUCUCACUGCGCGGCCUCAGCCCGGCUUCUCCCCGUCAC